AUUAUAUUUAAUUAUUUUAAUGGGGGUUAAAGUAUAUUAAUAGAAAUAAUUUUUAAUUUUAUAGAAAAUUAGUAUUGUAAAAGAAUUUUGAAAUAUAUUUUUAUUAAAUAAAAUUUAUUAAAAAGUAAUUUUAAUUUAGUGUAUCUUGUGUAUCAGAGUUUAUUUAAAAAAUAUUAUAAUUAUAAAAUUCUCGAAUUUAAAAGAGAUAAUUAAUUAUUAAAGUUAUUGUGGAAUAAAUAUUUUAAAUAAUUGAUUUGAAAUGAAAUGUUAAUCGUUUUUAAAUAUAUCUAGUUUUUUUAGAAAAAAAUUUAAUUUUAAAUUUAAUAAAUAAUUAAAUUAUUAUUUAUUUAAUUGUAUUUAUUAACUUAAAUAUUUUAAGGGAUAAGCUUUAAGAUAAAUAAAUAUAAUUAAUUUAAAAUUAAAAAUUAAAAAUUAUAUAAUUUAUAUUGUUAAAAAUUUAUAAUUUAUUAAAAAUAAUUUUAAUUUAUAUAAAAUUUUAUUUAAUUUAUAAUUUUAUAGAAAAAUAAUAAUAAUAAUAUAAAAUUUGUUAUAAUGAUAAAAUUAGUAUAAAAUUGUAAUUUAAAUUAAUAUUGUUAAUUAAAAUUUAGUUAAAUAUUUAUAAGGAAUUCGGCAAAAUUUUAUAUUCACUUGUUUAUCAAAAACAUGUCUUUUUGAAAAUAAUUUAAAGUCUAAUCUGCCCACUGAUAAUAAUUAAAGGGCUGCAGUAUUUUGACUGUACAAAGGUAGCAUAAUCAUUAGUCAUUUAAUUGAUGACUUGUAUGAAGGAUUGGAUGAAAUAUAUACUGUCUCAUAAAUAAUUUAUAGAAAUUAAUUUUUUAAUUAAAAAGUUAAAAUAUUUUAAAAAGACGAGAAGACCCUAUAGAGUUUUAUUUUUUAAUAAUUUAAAUUUAUUUAUAAAUAGAAAUAAUUUUUAAUUUAUUAAAAAAUUUUAUUGGGGUGAUAAAAAAAUUAAAUUAACUUUUUUUUUUAUUAAACAUUAAUAAGUGAGUAUUUGAUCCAAUAAUAUUGAUUAUAAGAAAAAAUUACCUUAGGGAUAACAGCGUAAUUUUUUUUUUUAGUUCAUAUAAAAAAAAGAGUUUGCGACCUCGAUGUUGGAUUAAGAUAAAAUUUAAAUGUAGAAGUUUAAAAUUUUGAUCUGUUCGAUCAUUAAAAUCUUACAUGAUCUGAGUUCAAACCGGUGUGAGCCAGGUUGGUUUCUAUCUUUUAAUUUAAAAAAAUAUUUUAGUACGAAAGGAUCAAAUAUUUAAAUUAAAUUUAAUUUAUAAGAAUAUUAUUAAAAUAAAUAAAUUUGU
rnacentral:rRNA from 1 species